GGGAAUAUUAAUCUGCAACUCCAGGGCUUUCUGUCAUCUGUUUCCUAAAUAAAUAGCUUUCAAGUGAAAUUGUUGUGGAUGGAAGACCUUCAAGGGUUGUAUCACCUGACAUUUAGUUAAUGCAUUUCUUAAGGGAAGUCUCCAUUUCUCUCCUUGAGUCUUGUUCUUCUCUAUUGCAUCCUGGGCAGGUCGAUAUAAGACAAACAUUUUCAUUUCUUCUGCAUUCUAAAAGGUCAAAAUGAUAACAAAAUCAGAAAUAGAACCCACAUCUUUGGCUUUAUUGCAGAUCUCAUCCUACUUAACUUUUAUCCCUUGGCGCCUUGUUCUGUUGGCUGGGCUUAUAGACAACUAUCUUGAAAUAAGCAGCUCUCAGCCUCUUUCUUUGCAGCUCACCCUUCUUGAUUCAUGUCAUACCAGCUUGGUAGGGUGACUCCUAAACUAUAACAACAAGAAUAGUAAACUUAAUUUUAUAUAGGAUCCUUCAUACAGCGCCAUUACAAAACGCUUUGCCAAUUUAAGAGUUGUAGAAUUACAAAGCAGCGCUAUCGAAUUAAAUAAGUAACAGCUGAUACUAAUAAUUAGCUUAAUUUAUGGUCUAGCAGAACUGUCACAACUGAGGCAGCUCUCCCUCCGCCUCUCAUCUCCCUCUCUUUUCUUCCUUCAUCCCUCCUCCUUUGGCAAUGGCAACCAAGUGAAGUGCUGAGAUUGUCACAUUAGUCAUCAGAAAGUCAAGUCACUUCUUCCUUUACUCGGUAGCUUUACGACCUUGUUAUAUCAAGAAUUUUCAACCUUUUUGGAAUUGCUCCACCCCUUCAUGAAGAAAUAUGGGCUUUCUCUACCAUCAAAAUAACGUAACCUGGGGACCAAACUCUGCAGAGCUGCUCUUUGUGGGAAGAGAUCUGUCAGUUUUCCUGAAGAUGAGCUUGUCUACUAUGAAAGAAAAUCAGUGCUCUUUAACUGUGGACUAAACCAAGACAGAUGUCCAGUUCUUGCCUCUUCCCACCAUGUAGUCUUCCUGAUUUUGUUUGGUUGAUACUACCACCAAAACAGGAGCCUUCCUGGGGCCCGCCUGGUGGCGCAGCAGUUAAGUGUGCACGUUCUGCUUUGGCGGCCCGGGAUUCACCUGUUCGGAUCCUGUGUGCAGACCUACGCACGACUUAUCAAGCAAUGCUGUGGCAGGCCUCCCACAGAUAAAGUAGAGGAAGGUGGGCACAGAUGUUAGCUCAGGGCCAGUCUUCCUCAACAAAAAGAAGAGGAUUGGCGGCAGAUGUUAGCUCAGGGAUAGUCUUCCUCAAAAAUAAAGAAAAAAAAUAAACAGAAGCCUUCCUGAUGACUGUCCUCCGAGUCUUACUGCCCUGCAAUAUCUGCUAGAGAAGUAAUUCAUUGUGGAAAACCAUAUUUGACAAAGGAAUAGGAAAUUUCCUUCUGCAGAAAGUUCUUUGGUUUUACCCUUUGCUUUCCCAGAUUGCAUACAGGCAUUUUAGAUUCUUCAAUUUAAAGAGGGUCUAAAUCCCUCUCUAAGAGUGAGAAUCUGCCAAACAGGAUUUUAAAUACCAGUGGUGCCACUUACUUGCUACAAG
rnacentral:lncRNA from 1 species